rnacentral:rRNA from 1 species
AGCGUACACGGUGGAUGCCCUGGCAGUCAGAGGCGAUGAAGGACGUGCUAAUCUGCGAAAAGCGCCGGCGAGGUGAUAUGAACCUUUGACCCGGCGAUGUCCGAAUGGGGAAACCCAGUGUGUUCCGACACACUAUCGUUAACUGAAUACAUAGGUUAACGAGGCGAACCGGGGGAACUGAAACAUCUAAGUACCCCGAGGAAAAGAAAUCAACCGAGAUUCCCCCAGUAGCGGCGAGCGAACGGGGAGCAGCCCAGAGUCUGAAUCAGCUUGUGUGUUAGUGGAAGCGUCUGGAAAGUCGCACGGUACAGGGUGAAAGUCCCGUACACGAAAGCACACAGGCUGUGAACUCGAAGAGUAGGGCGGGACACGUGGUAUCCUGUCUGAAUAUGGGGGGACCAUCCUCCAAGGCUAAAUACUCCUGACUGACCGAUAGUGAACCAGUACCGUGAGGGAAAGGCGAAAAGAACCCCGGCGAGGGGAGUGAAAAAGAACCUGAAACCGUGUACGUACAAGCAGUGGGAGCCUCUUUUAUGGGGUGACUGCGUACCUUUUGUAUAAUGGGUCAGCGACUUAUAUUCUGUAGCAAGGUUAACCGUAUAGGGGAGCCGAAGGGAAACCGAGUCUUAACUGGGCGUUAAGUUGCAGGGUAUAGACCCGAAACCCGGUGAUCUAGCCAUGGGCAGGUUGAAGGUUGGGUAACACUAACUGGAGGACCGAACCGACUAAUGUUGAAAAAUUAGCGGAUGACUUGUGGCUGGGGGUGAAAGGCCAAUCAAACCGGGAGAUAGCUGGUUCUCCCCGAAAGCUAUUUAGGUAGCGCCUCGUGAACUCAUCUUCGGGGGUAGAGCACUGUUUCGGCUAGGGGGCCAUCCCGGCUUACCAACCCGAUGCAAACUACGAAUACCGAAGAAUGUUAUCACGGGAGACACACGGCGGGUGCUAACGUCCGUCGUGAAGAGGGAAACAACCCAGACCGCCAGCUAAGGUCCCAAAGUCAUGGUUAAGUGGGAAACGAUGUGGGAAGGCACAGACAGCCAGGAUGUUGGCUUAGAAGCAGCCAUCAUUUAAAGAAAGCGUAAUAGCUCACUGGUCGAGUCGGCCUGCGCGGAAGAUGUAACGGGGCUAAACCAUGCACCGAAGCUGCGGCAGCGACGCUUAUGCGUUGUUGGGUAGGGGAGCGUUCUGUAAGCCGUUGAAGGUGUCCUGUGAGGGGUGCUGGAGGUAUCAGAAGUGCGAAUGCUGACAUAAGUAACGAUAAAGCGGGUGAAAAGCCCGCUCGCCGGAAGACCAAGGGUUCCUGUCCAACGUUAAUCGGGGCAGGGUGAGUCGACCCCUAAGGCGAGGCCGAAAGGCGUAGUCGAUGGGAAACAGGUUAAUAUUCCUGUACUUGGUGUUACUGCGAAGGGGGGACGGAGAAGGCUAUGUUAGCCGGGCGACGGUUGUCCCGGUUUAAGCAUGUAGGCGGAGGUUCCAGGUAAAUCCGGUUCCUUGUUAACGCUGAGGUGUGAUGACGAGGCACUACGGUGCUGAAGUAACAAAUGCCCUGCUUCCAGGAAAAGCCUCUAAGCAUCAGGUAACAUCAAAUCGUACCCCAAACCGACACAGGUGGUCAGGUAGAGAAUACCAAGGCGCUUGAGAGAACUCGGGUGAAGGAACUAGGCAAAAUGGUGCCGUAACUUCGGGAGAAGGCACGCUGAUAUGUAGGUGAAGCCCCUGCGGGUGGAGCUGAAAUCAGUCGAAGAUACCAGCUGGCUGCAACUGUUUAUUAAAAACACAGCACUGUGCAAACACGAAAGUGGACGUAUACGGUGUGACGCCUGCCCGGUGCCGGAAGGUUAAUUGAUGGGGUUAGCGGUAACGCGAAGCUCUUGAUCGAAGCCCCGGUAAACGGCGGCCGUAACUAUAACGGUCCUAAGGUAGCGAAAUUCCUUGUCGGGUAAGUUCCGACCUGCACGAAUGGCGUAAUGAUGGCCAGGCUGUCUCCACCCGAGACUCAGUGAAAUUGAACUCGCUGUGAAGAUGCAGUGUACCCGCGGCAAGACGGAAAGACCCCGUGAACCUUUACUAUAGCUUGACACUGAACACUGGUCCUUGAUGUGUAGGAUAGGUGGGAGGCUUUGAAGCGUGGACGCCAGUCUGCGUGGAGCCAACCUUGAAAUACCACCCUUUAAUGGCUGGUGUUCUAACGUAGACCCGUGAUCCGGGUUGCGGACAGUGUCUGGUGGGUAGUUUGACUGGGGCGGUCUCCUCCCAAAGAGUAACGGAGGAGCACGAAGGUUAGCUAAUCCUGGUCGGACAUCAGGAGGUUAGUGCAAUGGCAUAAGCUAGCUUGACUGCGAGAGUGACGGCUCGAGCAGGUGCGAAAGCAGGUCAUAGUGAUCCGGUGGUUCUGAAUGGAAGGGCCAUCGCUCAACGGAUAAAAGGUACUCCGGGGAUAACAGGCUGAUACCGCCCAAGAGUUCAUAUCGACGGCGGUGUUUGGCACCUCGAUGUCGGCUCAUCACAUCCUGGGGCUGAAGUAGGUCCCAAGGGUAUGGCUGUUCGCCAUUUAAAGUGGUACGCGAGCUGGGUUUAGAACGUCGUGAGACAGUUCGGUCCCUAUCUGCCGUGGGCGCUGGAGAAUUGAGGGGGGCUGCUCCUAGUACGAGAGGACCGGAGUGGACGCAUCACUGGUGUUCGGGUUGUCAUGCCAAUGGCACUGCCCGGUAGCUAAAUGCGGAAGAGAUAAGUGCUGAAAGCAUCUAAGCACGAAACUUGCCCCGAGAUGAGUUCU